GCAGACCUAGCUUUCGCGGGGGGGAGAGAACAACACAUAUUUUACUUAUAAUCAGAGCAUAUUUGAUCCAAAAGAGAUUCAGCCUGGGUGUUCGGUCUGGACACAGGAUGCAGCAACCCUCUUUACAGGCCAAAUGUGGAAAACAACAUAUAAACAAACUAGCCUUCCCUGCAAACAAGAGAAGAAUUUAUGAGGCUUAGAGGAAGAGCUAUGGCUCUAACAACAGUGCUAAUCUGACACGGAUGGAGGUCACCUGGGGUUUGUUCAGGGCAGCUGAAGGAUUCUAAGGUACUUACUUUAAGUUUGGCAAAAACCACUCUUUGUCUUA
rnacentral:lncRNA from 1 species